CAAGUCGAACGGAAUCUUUAGGGAUUUAGUGGCGGACGGGUGAGUAACGCGUAAGAAUCUACCUUCAGGUCGGGGACAACCACUGGAAACGGUGGCUAAUACCGGAUGUGCCGAGAGGCGAAAGGCUUGCUGCCUGAAGAAGAGCUUGCGUCUGAUUAGCUAGUUGGUGGUGUAAGGGACUACCAAGGCGACGAUCAGUAGCUGGUCUGAGAGGAUGAUCAGCCACACUGGGACUGAGACACGGCCCAGACUCCUACGGGAGGCAGCAGUGGGGAAUUUUCCGCAAUGGGCGAAAGCCUGACGGAGCAAUACCGCGUGAGGGAGGAAGGCUCUUGGGUUGUAAACCUCUUUUCUCAGGGAAGAACAGAAUGACGGUACCUGAGGAAUAAGCAUCGGCUAACUCCGUGCCAGCAGCCGCGGUAAUACGGAGGAUGCAAGCGUUAUCCGGAAUGAUUGGGCGUAAAGGGUCCGCAGGUGGCAUUGAAAGUCUGCUGUUAAAGAGUCUAGCUCAACUAGAUAAGAGCAGUGGAAACUACAAAGCUAGAGUGUGGUCGGGGCAGAGGGAAUUCCUGGUGUAGCGGUGAAAUGCGUAGAUAUCAGGAAGAACACCAGUGGCGAAGGCGCUCUGCUAGGCCGAGACUGACACUGAGGGACGAAAGCUAGGGGAGCGAAUGGGAUUAGAUACCCCAGUAGUCCUAGCCGUAAACGAUGGAUACUAGGCGUAGCUCGUAUCGACCCGAGCUGUGCCGGAGCUAACGCGUUAAGUAUCCCGCCUGGGGAGUGCGCACGCAACUGUGAAACUCAAAGGAAUUGACGG
rnacentral:rRNA from 1 species